AGGGGUAGGGCAUAGUGGUAGAGUGCAGUGCUUAGCAUGCAAGAAGUCCUGGGUUCAAUCCCCAGUACCUCCA
rnacentral:tRNA from 1 species